rnacentral:tRNA from 1 species
GGCUCUGUAGUGAAAGUUUCACGUUGAAUUGCAAAUUCAGAAAAGCAGCUUUAAGUUCUGCCGGGGCUU